rnacentral:lncRNA from 1 species
GGGGUAUCAAAGCGGCGUCGCCACAGCCAUUUUUACUGGAUACAUCGGUCCGGAGUAAUGCGUCUUCUGAAACGCUGCCAGGCAAUGGCUCUCUUGGCCGCUCAAGUUGUGCGAGAGCUGCUUAGAACGAAGUUUGAAGAACAAUUACGCAGAUGUGGGAGCACCCACCAAACGACAGUUUCCAGAACAAUUCCUCAGAUUUGGGAGCACUCUGCACCCACCCGCUGAAUUGCAACAAAAUCUGCAGUCACACACUGUUGCUUUCUUAGCAAAAUUCCGUUGCACCACCAGUAAGUUCAUCCAGAGGCCACAUUACCAAAUGAGAAAAUUUACCUUGCAAAACAACAGAUCAAUUGCUUGAUAAAUUUGAAUCUUGCAAUCAGAGAAAGUCAUCGUGCUUUCCUAUAGUCCC